rnacentral:rRNA from 1 species
CACGUAGGGUGCGAGCGUUGUCCGGAAUUAUUGGGCGUAAAGAGCGUGUAGGCGGCCAGGUAGGUCGGUUGUGAAAACUAGAGGCUCAACCUCUAGACGUCGACCGAAACCAUCUGGCUAGAGUCCGGAAGAGGAGAGUGGAAUUCCGUGGUGUAGCGGUGAAAUGCGCAGAUAUCAGGAAGAACACCCGUGGCGAAGGCGGCUCUCUGGGACGGUACUGACGCUGAGACGCGAAAGCGUGGGGAGCGAACAGG